CCUACGGGUGGCAGCAGUGAGGAAUAUUGGUCAAUGGGCGCGAGCCUGAACCAGCCAAGUCGCGUGAGGGAUGACGGCCCUACGGGUUGUAAACCUCUUUUAUCAGGGAGCAAAGUGAGCCACGAGUGCCGCGGUGUGAGUACUUGAAGAAUAAGGAUCGGCUAACUCCGUGCCAGCAGCCGCGGUAAUACGGAGGAUGCGAGCGUUAUCCGGAUUUAUUGGGUUUAAAGGGAGCGUAGCCGGGUUCGUAAGGCCGGUGGGAAAGUUUGGGGCUCAAACCUAACAUUGCAAUUGAUACUGGUAGUCUAGAGUACAGGUGAGGUAAGCGGAAUUCGUGGUGUAGCGGUGAAAUGCGUAGAUAUCACGAAGAACUCCGAUUGCGAAGGCAGCUUAC
rnacentral:rRNA from 1 species